UUGGGACAGCUAUCCCGGGCUGCUGGAAAGUGCAUGCGCCAGCUACCUGACGAGGAAAGGGUCGGCAGAUUUCAGAAAGUAUGGACGAAAGCUGUACGCACCCUACGCCGUCAUCUGCAUGGAAAACGCAGGUGAACCGCUCUCCAAAAUUACGCUCGGGCAAUUCAACAACGCCUUGGAGCUCCGCUCCGUGGUCCAGCAGGUGGCGCUAGCGUUAGCGGUCGCUGAGGCGGAGCUGGAGUUUGAGCACCGGGCCCUGACCCCUGGGCACGUGCUGGUUAGGCCAGCACGCCGUCGCGUAGCCCAUUACCGAUUCAUGAACACUAUUUUGUUCGUUGAGCUGCACGGAUGGGAGGCCUGCAUCGUGGAUUUUGCAGCAUCCAGGCUUUACUCG